rnacentral:rRNA from 1 species
CAGCCGCCGCGGUAAUACGUAGGGGGCGAGCGUUGUCCGGAAUUACUGGGCGUAAAGGGCGUGUAGGCGGCCUGUUAAGUCAGGGGUGAAAGACCGGGGCUCAACCCCGGGGGUGCCUCUGAAACUGGCGGGCUUGAGUGCUCUAGAGGGCAGUGGAAUUCCCGGUGUAGCAGUGAAAUGCGUAGAGAUCGGGAGGAACACCAGUGGCGAAGGCGGCUGCCUGGGGAGUCACUGACGCUGAGGCGCGAAAGCUAGGGGAGCAAACAGGAUUAGAUACCCUGGUAGUCCUAGCCGUAAACGAUGAGCGCUAUGUGUGAGGGGUAUCGACCCCCCUCGUGCAGUAGCUAACGCAUUAAGCGCUCCGCCUGGGGAGUACGGCCGCAAGGUUGAAACUUAAGGAAUUGGCGGG